AUUGAACGCUGGCGGCAGGCCUAACACAUGCAAGUCGAACGAGUGGCGGACGGGUGAGUAAUGUCUGGGAAACUUCCCGAUGGAGGGGGAUAACUACUGGAAACGGUAGCUAAUACCGCAUACCAUCGGAUGUUCCCAGAUGGGAUUAGCUAGUAGGUGGGGUAACGGCUCACCUAGGCGACGAUCCCUAGCUGGUCUGAGAGGAUGACCAGCCACACGGAAACUGAGACACGGUCCAGACUCCUACGGGAGACAGCAGUGGGGAAUAUUGCACAAUGGGCGCAAGCCGGAGGCAGCCAUGCCGCGUGAAUGAAGAAGGCCUUCGGGUUGUAAAGUACUUUCAGCGAGGAGACGUUACUCGCAGAAGAAGCACCGGCUAACUCCGUGCCAGCAGCAGCGGUAAUAC
rnacentral:rRNA from 1 species